UGGGGAAUAUUGCACAAUGGGCGCAAGCCUGAUGCAGCCAUGCCGCGUGUGUGAAGAAGGCCUUCGGGUUGUAAAGCACUUUCAGCGAGGAGGAAGGUGGUGAACUUAAUACGUUCAUCAAUUGACGUUACUCGCAGAAGAAGCACCGGCUAACUCCGUGCCAGCAGCCGCGGUAAUACGGAGGGUGCAAGCGUUAAUCGGAAUUACUGGGCGUAAAGCGCACGCAGGCGGUUUGUUAAGUCAGAUGUGAAAUCCCCGGGCUCAACCUGGGAACUGCAUUUGAAACUGGCAAGCUAGAGUCUCGUAGAGGGGGGUAGAAUUCCAGGUGUAGCGGUGAAAUGCGUAGAGAUCUGGAGGAAUACAGGUGGCGAAGGCGGCCCACUGGACGAAGACUGACGCUCAGGUGCGAAAGCGUGGGGAGCAAAACAGGAUUAGAUACCAUGGUAGUCCACGCUGUAAACGAUGUCGAUUUGGAGGUUGUGCCCUUGAGGCGUGGCUUCCGGAGCUAACGCGUUAAAUCGACCG
rnacentral:rRNA from 1 species